GUUCGACGCCAAUCCAUUCCCCAACCUAACCUAGCGCGAGCGGCGGCGGCGGCGGCGAUGUGGCCAGUACUGCAAGCAGCGGCCAAGGGCCAACGGAGCCGGCGACGGGCGACCAGAUGAAGAAGGGUGUUAGCAUAUUUGCAUUGUGGGAAAGCGCUUCGAAGGCAAAGAAAACAGGUAAGAUGGGAGGAUGGCACAGGCUGUACUACCAAAUUAGACCAUCUCCAUGGGAGAUCGAGAUUGUUGGUGGUUCAAUCUCUACUGCUCAGUGUCUAGCACUAUCAAUGACCUGCAGACACAAACAAUGUUGGAACCUUUCCUUUAUUACUCCAGGACCACCCAAGUUAAUGGUUCUACAUCUAUUGUAGAUUAUAUAUGUAUGAAUCCUGUCUCUGGCAGCAUCAAUGACUUGCAGACACAAACAUUCAUAUACUUCUAUGUGUAAAAUUAAACCAAUUGUGAUUAGUAUAGAUUGUUGUAUUGUUCCUUGGACCGGCAUAGUUAUAAUUGACAUUGUUCUACGUGUUAA